rnacentral:rRNA from 1 species
GAUGAACGCUGGCGGCGUGCCUAAUACAUGCAAGUCGAGCGAACAGACGAGGAGCUUGCUCCUCUGACGUUAGCGGCGGACGGGUGAGUAACACGUGGAUAACCUACCUAUAAGACUGGGAUAACUUCGGGAAACCGGAGCUAAUACCGGAUAAUAUAUUGAACCGCAUGGUUCAAUAGUGAAAGACGGUUUUGCUGUCACUUAUAGAUGGAUCCGCGCCGCAUUAGCUAGUUGGUAAGGUAACGGCUUACCAAGGCAACGAUGCGUAGCCGACCUGAGAGGGUGAACGGCCACACUGGAACUGAGAAACGGUCCAGACUCCGACGGGAGGCAGCAGUAGGGAAUCUUCCGCAAUGGGCGAAAGCCUGACGGAGCAACGCCGCGUGAGUGAUGAAGGUCUUCGGAUCGUAAAACUCUGUUAGUAGGGAAGAACAAAUGUGUAAGUAACUAUGAACGUCUUGACGGUACCUAAUCAGAAAGCCACGGCUAACUACGUG